rnacentral:rRNA from 1 species
AGUGAACGCUGGCGGUAUGCCUAACACAUGCAAGUCGAACGGCAGCACAGUAAGAGCUUUCUCUUACGGUUGGCGAGUGGCGGACGGGUGAGGAAUACAUCCGAAUCUACUUUUUCUUGGGGGAUAACGUAGGGAAACUUACGCUAAUACCGCAUACGACCUACGGGUGAAAGCAGGGGAUCUUCGGCCCUUGCGCGAGUCAAUGAGCGCAUGUCGGAUUAGCUAGUUGGGGGGUUAAAGACCCACCAAGACGACGAUCCGUUGCUGGUCUGAGAGGCUAAUCACCCAAACUGGACCUGAGCACCGGCCCAGACUCCUAGGGGAGGCAGAAGUGGGAAAUAUUGGAAAAUGGGCGAAAGCCUGAUCAAGCCAUACCGCGUGGGUGAAGAAGGCCUUCGGUUUGUAAAGCCCUUUUGUUGGGAAAGAAAAGCAGCAGGUUAAUACCCCGCUGUUCUGACGGAACCCAAAGAAUAAGCACCGGCUACCUUCGU